rnacentral:rRNA from 1 species
AGAGCGAACGCUGGCGGCAGGCUUAACACAUGCAAGUCGAGCGCCCCGCAAGGGGAGCGGCAGACGGGUGAGUAACGCGUGGGAACGUACCUUUGGUUCGGAACAACACAGGGAAACUUGUGCUAAUACCGGAUAAGCCCUUACGGGGAAAGAUUUAUCGCCAUUGGAGCGGCCCGCGUCUGAUUAGCUAGUUGGUAGGGUAAAGGCCUACCAAGGCUACGAUCAGUAGCUGGUCUGAGAGGACGACCAGCCACAUUGACACUGAGACACUGGCCAGACUCCUACGGGGGGCUGCAGCAACGAAUCUUCCCCAAUGGCGAAAGCCUGAGGGAGCGACGCCGCGUGAAGGACGAAGUACUUCGGUAUGUAAACUUCUGUUAGGGUUAUGAAAGUGAAGGGACCUAAUACGUCCACAAUUGAUCUAGCCCAAAGAAGGGACGGCUAACUCUAGUGCCAGCAGCCGC